GAGGGUAUAGCUCAGUGGUAGAGUGCAUGCUUAGCAUGCACCAGCUCCUGGGUUCAAUCCCCAGUAUCAACA
rnacentral:tRNA from 1 species